rnacentral:rRNA from 1 species
CUUGCUCUGUUUCCCGAGUGGCGAAAAGGUGAGUAAUAUAUCGGAACGUACCCAAGCAGUGGGGGAUAACGCCCCGAAAGUUACGCUAAUACCGCAUACGAUCUAAGGAUGAAAGUGGGGGCUCGCAAGACCUCAUGCUCCUGGAGCGGCCGAUAUCUGAUUAGCUAGUUGGUGAGGUAAAGGCUCACCAAGGCAUCGAUCACUAGCUGGUCUGAGAGGACGACCAGCCACACUGGAACUGAGACACGGUCCAGACUCCUACGGGAGGCAGCAGUGGGGAAUUUUGGACAAUGGGGGCAACCCUGAUCCAGCAAUGCCGCGUGAGUGAAGAAGGCCUUCAGGUUGUAAAGCUCUUUUGUCAAGGAAGAAACGGUUUUGGCUAAUAUCCACAGCUAAUGACGGUACCUGAAGAAUAAGCACCGGCUAACUACGUGCCAGCAGCCGCGGUAAUACAUAGGGUGCAAGCGUUAA